AAAUUGAAGAGUUUGAUCAUGGCUCAGAUUGAACGCUGGCGGCAGGCCUAACACAUGCAAGUCGAGCGGUAGCACAGAGAGCUUGCUCUCGGGUGACGAGCGGCGGACGGGUGAGUAAAGUCUGGGAAACUGCCUGAUGGAGGGGGAUAACUACUGGAAACGGUAGCUAAUACCGCAUAACGUCGCAAGACCAAAGUGGGGG
rnacentral:rRNA from 1 species